UACGUAGGGUGCAAGCGUUAAUCGGAAUUACUGGGCGUAAAGCGUGCGCAGGCGGCUUUGCAAGACAGAUGUGAAAUCCCCGGGCUCAACCUGGGAACUGCAUUUGUGACUGCAUGGCUAGAGUGCGGCAGAGGGGGAUGGAAUUCCGCGUGUAGCAGUGAAAUGCGUAGAUAUGCGGAGGAACACCGAUGGCGAAGGCAAUCCCCUGGGCCUGCACUGACGCUCAUGCACGAAAGCGUGGGGAGCAAACGGG
rnacentral:rRNA from 1 species